GAUGAACGCUGGCGGCGUGCCUAAUACAUGCAAGUCGAGCGAACGGACGAGAAGCUUGCUUCUCUGAUGUUAGCGGCGGACGGGUGAGUAACACGUGGAUAACCUACCUAUAAGACUGGGAUAACUUCGGGAAACCGGAGCUAAUACCGGAUAAUAUUUUGAACCGCAUGGUUCAAAAGUGAAAGACGGUCUUGCUGUCACUUAUAGAUGGAUCCGCGCUGCAUUAGCUAGUUGGUAAGGUAACGGCUUACCAAGGCAACGAUGCAUAGCCGACCCGAGAGGGUGAUCGGCCACACUGGAACUGAGACACGGUCCAGACUCCUACGGGAGGCAGCAGUAGGGAAUCUUCCGCAAUGGGCGAAAGCCUGACGGAGCAACGCCGCGUGAGUGAUGAAGGUCUUCGGAUCGUAAAACUCUGUUAUUAGGGAAGAACAUAUGUGUAAGUAACUGUGCACAUCUUGACGGUACCUAAUCAGAAAGCCACGGCUAACUACGCG
rnacentral:rRNA from 1 species